GAUGAACGCUGGCGGCGUGCUUAACACAUGCAAGUCGAACGGAAAGGCCCAAGCUUGCUUGGGUGCUCGAGUGGCGAACGGGUGAGUAACACGUGGGUGAUCUGCCCUGCACUUUGGGAUAAGCCUGGGAAACUGGGUCUAAUACCGGAGAGGACCAUCGUUUAGUGUCGGUGGUGGAAAGUUUUUCGGUAUGGGGUGAGCUCGCGGCCUAUGAGCUUGUUGGGGGGGUAAUGGCCUACCAAGGGGUCGAGGGGUGGCCGGGCUGAGAGGGUGUGCGGCCACAGUGGGACUGAGAGACGGCCCAGGCUCCUGCGGGAAGCGGCAGUGGGGAGUAUUGCACAAUGGGCGCAAGCCCGAUGCAGAGGGGCCGCGUGGGGGAUGACGGCCUUCGGGUUGGAGACUCAGUUCGCCAAGGACGAAGCGUUUUGUGCCGUUACUUGGAGAAGAAGCACCGGCUAACUACGUG
rnacentral:rRNA from 1 species